GCAGGAGGGAAGGCGCUGGCAUGGAGGGGAGAAGGCUGCAGGGAGGAGAGGGGAAGGGAGAAGGCCAUUCCAGGGCUGCUGGGCAGCAGACGGAGCCGGGACCCCCUCCAGCAGCUGGCACGAAGCCACCAGGGAAGAAGAAGCCACCAGGCAGGAGAGCCACCAGUGCCACCAGGGCCAGCACCGCCAGCACGAGGGCAGCAAAACAUCACCACAAAAGCAGAAAGCAGCAGGCCCACUCCCCUCCAGCGCUUCAAAUCCCAGCUCCUGGGAGGAACCCUGACUCAGCCCAAAACUCUGCAGAGGGGAAUGAGGAAGAUGCAAACACAAACAAGGCUGUAGCAUCAGCUGGCAGCAUUUUGGGUUCUGCCGGGGCAGGGGAAGGUCUCUGUGCUCAGCUGAGCCAAAGCCUCCGCUGGGAUGGGAUUCUGGAGGAUCCCCAGGCAGAGAGGGAGAGGCUGCGUGUUUACAGGGUGAACAGGAGGGAAAGGUAUGAAUUGUACAUCCAGGAGCACUUCCCAGCUGCCAGGAAUUCCCCACCCCUCCACGGCAGCAGCAGGUAAAGGAGAUUCCUGCAGUAAUUAUUUGGAAGAGCAAAAGUUGCUGUGCCUGAAUGCUGAUUGAGGAAUUGCUGUGAACUGAACUCCGAGCUGCACCAGGGGUGUCACCCAAAAUCCCAACAAUUUCUGUGUCCUAGCAGGGGUUCCUCACUGUCUGUGUGGAGGAAAGGACAUUUUUAUCUUAAAAAACCAAACCAACCUGUUAAAAUAUGGCUGCAACUCAGACUGCAUCAACAAUUAGAAGUGCUCCUUUCCACACUGUGUUUGUGCCAAUUAUUGCUGUUGGUUUAUUUCCAAAUAACAGUGCGAAACUUUCCAGGUAUUCACGUUGUACAAUGCAGAUUUGUGAGCAGAUGAAGGACCAGACACUUUGUUUAGAGUCUGAAAUGACUUCCAGGCAUACAAACUUACCUUCCUUGAAACUGAGUGAGCUGCAAAGUCAGGACGUGAAUCCAGCCCUCACCUCCUGGCUUUUGAUCCAAUUGUUAGGUUGAGUGUUUUAUUUUGUAACAGAAAUUAACAAAAUUUUAACACAAAUUAACAAAAAUUCAUUAUCUCAGACUCUCAGAUGUGACAUUCUGGAGAAGCACACAUGAAAGGGAAAGAGCACAUCCAGAACAACAGGGUUUCCUUGGAAUGGUAGGUGCUAAUUAGAAGCUCAUUGGGCCAAUAUGAAUUAAAAAUCACAUGGAACAACCUUGUACUCCCCUACUUCAAAUUUUGAUAGUAAAAUAAUGUUUUUCAUACAGAGUGUCAUGACAAUACUUAAGGAGAACAGCCCAGCCUCACUGCAGGAAGCAUUUGAAAGUUAGGUGACAUCUGAAAGUGUCCCCGAACUCCCCUGAAAGCUACUGUGCUGACUUCUAAAGUUUUUUCUUAAUAGCUUUUUAAAUCGACCCUUUUAUACAGAAUUGAUGUUUAUAAGUAGCUUUUCUCCUGUUUAAUACUUCAAAACUCCAGGAUACCCAAAAGCUCUCAGAGCCUUUUGCUGGAAGCAGCAGCUUUGGAGCAGCUCCACGGCUCCCCAGACCCCAAUAAUGUCAUUACAUGCAACUCUAGAGCUUCCACAAGCACAUAACCAGAUGAACAAUAAAAAGUAAGCAAAAAAUCCCAUUAGGAAUUAAUUAACUGAUGUUCAAUUACAUCCAUUCCUGCUCUGCCAGAGUCACUAACAAAAUCAGCACGCCUGCAAAAUGUGGAAAGGUUAAAAGAACAGAUUGAGCAUCCAGAAAACCACCAGAGCAUUUCUCUUGACACAAUAGUUUAUAAUCAUCUCUUUUGGUUUUAUAAAGUUUAAUGCAUAACACACUCUAGUCUUAUAUUUAUGCUAUGUUUACUAAUGCAGCCUUUGAGCAUCUACAUUUUGAAAAUAAAUUCCUGCCUGGUUAAAUACAUGUUGUAUUUGAAAGGGAUUAGUUCUUCACUUGUAGGAUAUGCUGAAAUUCAUACCAGAAACUCUCUUUAAAAAUAAAGCUGUACCAGAUGAACAACUCAAACACAUUAAGGAGAGGAUUUUCAGCUGUCUUUAAAGAACUUUUUCAAUGUCUUAUUAAACUGACAAAUCCACAACAUUUGGUGCUGGUUUGGUUUUUAAUAUAGACAGUUCUAUAUAGGAAACACCCUCCUAGAAUAUGUAAACAAGAAUAGAAGAGAAAGGAGGG